CGCAGACCCGGGGCUGGUGGGGGUGGCGGCGGCCCUGGCCCCCGCCCUCUGGACCCCCUCCGCUCAGAACAGGAGCUGGGACCUGCGCCCAGGCCGGUGCCCUGCAUUUCAGGGCUGUGGAAGGCUGCUUCUCUGACUUCCUCAACAUUCCUGGAAAAUGACCUGAAUUUUCUGGAAGAGGGAAGGAGGAUCUGGUUCUUGGAACAUUCCCACUUCUUCACACAGAUGCCACUCCCUCAGACGCACGUGAAGGCUGGGGCAUCUGUGGUCAGCGCUGGCCACCGCCCGCCGUCAGGCCGCCCCCUCGCCGGGGAGCCCAGCCCGGGCUCCGCUCCGCCGCGGUGAGCCUUCCAGCGGCCCCUGUGGACCCGCCUGCUCUCUCACGCCUGUCCUGAGCCUCCUUGACCCGGGCCCCAACUCACUCACUCGAAGCAGCGACACAGAGAAGACCAGCGUGGCCCGUGCACCAGGAUGGCACCCAAAUUCACGAAGCGUUCGUAUUAAAAAAAAAAAAA